GCGGUGCUGCGGGGUGCGUCAGGAGAACAUAUCCCCGGGGCCUUAUCGAUCCUAACGGGAGCUGUUCCUUGCCUCGUCCGUGGACUUGGCGACCACGGCGCCCACCUACGUUGUAGGUUUCCCGGGAUCGAUCCUCCAACGGCCAUCGUGGCUCCGCA
rnacentral:other from 2 species